rnacentral:rRNA from 1 species
GGGUUGUGAGGUUAAGCGACUAAGCGUACACGGUGGAUGCCCUGGCAGUCAGAGGCGAUGAAGGACGUGCUAAUCUGCGAAAAGCGUCGGUAAGGUGAUAUGAACCGUUACAGCCGGCGAUGUCCGAAUGGGGAAACCCAGUGCAAUUCGUUGCACUAUCGUUAACUGAAUACAUAGGUUAACGAGGCGAACCGGGGGAACUGAAACAUCUAAGUACCCCGAGGAAAAGAAAUCAACCGAGAUUCCCCCAGUAGCGGCGAGCGAACGGGGAGCAGCCCAGAGUCUGAAUCAGCUUGUGUGUUAGUGGAACGGUCUGGAAAGUCCGACGGUACAGGGUGAUAGUCCCGUACACCAAAAUGCACAGGCUGUGAACUCGAAGAGUAGGGCGGGACACGUGGUAUCCUGUCUGAAUAUGGGGGGACCAUCCUCCAAGGCUAAAUACUCCUGACUGACCGAUAGUGAACCAGUACCGUGAGGGAAAGGCGAAAAGAACCCCGGCGAGGGGAGUGAAAAAGAACCUGAAACCGUGUACGUACAAGCAGUGGGAGCACCUUCGGGUGUGACUGCGUACCUUUUGUAUAAUGGGUCAGCGACUUAUAUUCUGUAGCAAGGUUAACCGUAUAGGGGAGCCGCAGGGAAACCGAGUCUUAACUGGGCGUUAAGUUGCAGGGUAUAGACCCGAAACCCGGUGAUCUAGCCAUGGGCAGGUUGAAGGUUGGGUAACACUAACUGGAGGACCGAACCGACUAAUGUUGAAAAAUUAGCGGAUGACUUGUGGCUGGGGGUGAAAGGCCAAUCAAACCGGGAGAUAGCUGGUUCUCCCCGAAAGCUAUUUAGGUAGCGCCUCGUGAACUCAUCUUCGGGGGUAGAGCACUGUUUCGGCUAGGGGGUCAUCCCGACUUACCAACCCGAUGCAAACUACGAAUACCGAAGAAUGUUAUCACGGGAGACACACGGCGGGUGCUAACGUCCGUCGUGAAGAGGGAAACAACCCAGACCGCCAGCUAAGGUCCCAAAGUCAUGGUUAAGUGGGAAACGAUGUGGGAAGGCACAGACAGCCAGGAUGUUGGCUUAGAAGCAGCCAUCAUUUAAAGAAAGCGUAAUAGCUCACUGGUCGAGUCGGCCUGCGCGGAAGAUGUAACGGGGCUAAACCAUGCACCGAAGCUGCGGCAGCGACACUAUGUGUUGUUGGGUAGGGGAGCGUUCUGUAAGCCUGCGAAGGUGUGCUGUGAGGCAUGCUGGAGGUAUCAGAAGUGCGAAUGCUGACAUAAGUAACGAUAAAGCGGGUGAAAAGCCCGCUCGCCGGAAGACCAAGGGUUCCUGUCCAACGUUAAUCGGGGCAGGGUGAGUCGACCCCUAAGGCGAGGCCGAAAGGCGUAGUCGAUGGGAAACAGGUUAAUAUUCCUGUACUUGGUGUUACUGCGAAGGGGGGACGGAGAAGGCUAUGUUAGCCGGGCGACGGUUGUCCCGGUUUAAGCAUGUAGGCUGAUUAUCCAGGCAAAUCCGGAUAAUCAAGGCUGAGGUGUGAUGACGAGGCACUACGGUGCUGAAGUAACAAAUGCCCUGCUUCCAGGAAAAGCCUCUAAGCAUCAGGUAACAUUAAAUCGUACCCCAAACCGACACAGGUGGUCAGGUAGAGAAUACCAAGGCGCUUGAGAGAACUCGGGUGAAGGAACUAGGCAAAAUGGUGCCGUAACUUCGGGAGAAGGCACGCUGGUGUGUAGGUGAAGUCCCUGCGGAUGGAGCUGAGACCAGUCGAAGAUACCAGCUGGCUGCAACUGUUUAUUAAAAACACAGCACUGUGCAAACACGAAAGUGGACGUAUACGGUGUGACGCCUGCCCGGUGCCGGAAGGUUAAUUGAUGGGGUUAUCCGUAAGGAGAAGCUCUUGAUCGAAGCCCCGGUAAACGGCGGCCGUAACUAUAACGGUCCUAAGGUAGCGAAAUUCCUUGUCGGGUAAGUUCCGACCUGCACGAAUGGCGUAAUGAUGGCCAGGCUGUCUCCACCCGAGACUCAGUGAAAUUGAACUCGCUGUGAAGAUGCAGUGUACCCGCGGCAAGACGGAAAGACCCCGUGAACCUUUACUAUAGCUUGACACUGAACAUUGAGCCUUGAUGUGUAGGAUAGGUGGGAGGCUUUGAAGCGUGGACGCCAGUCUGCGUGGAGCCAACCUUGAAAUACCACCCUUUAAUGUUUGAUGUUCUAACGUUGGCCCCUGACCGGGGUUGCGGACAGUGUCUGGUGGGUAGUUUGACUGGGGCGGUCUCCUCCCAAAGCGUAACGGAGGAGCACGAAGGUUAGCUAAUCCUGGUCGGACAUCAGGAGGUUAGUGCAAUGGCAUAAGCUAGCUUGACUGCGAGCGUGACGGCGCGAGCAGGUGCGAAAGCAGGUCAUAGUGAUCCGGUGGUUCUGAAUGGAAGGGCCAUCGCUCAACGGAUAAAAGGUACUCCGGGGAUAACAGGCUGAUACCGCCCAAGAGUUCAUAUCGACGGCGGUGUUUGGCACCUCGAUGUCGGCUCAUCACAUCCUGGGGCUGAAGUAGGUCCCAAGGGUAUGGCUGUUCGCCAUUUAAAGUGGUACGCGAGCUGGGUUUAGAACGUCGUGAGACAGUUCGGUCCCUAUCUGCCGUGGGCGCUGGAGAAUUGAGGGGGGCUGCUCCUAGUACGAGAGGACCGGAGUGGACGCAUCACUGGUGUUCGGGUUGUCAUGCCAAUGGCACUGCCCGGUAGCUAAAUGCGGAAGAGAUAAGUGCUGAAAGCAUCUAAGCACGAAACUUGCCCCGAGAUGAGUUCUCCCUGAGACUUUAAGUCUCCUGAAGGAACGUU